UGUGACACGCAACUCGAUUUUUGUUGGGGUUUUUCUUUUUCUUUUUUUUUCAUCCUGAUCGUCAUCGUCAUAAAGGGCACCAAGCUCUUAAUAACUGAGACACGCAGAAAAAAACAAAAAA
rnacentral:ribozyme from 14 species